CUUUUACAUUCAGAUUUUUAAUCCAUCCAGACAUUUGUGAAUAACAUGGAAACAGAGGUGGAAUUUCUCCCCAAGUGGAGAGUUAAUGUCCUGGCAGCGUUUAUGGACUAAUCAGUUUAACAGUUCACCAAAAGUAAAUUACUAUUACCAGAGAAAGGGGUAGAAAAGGGGAUUCUGGGCAGAGAACAAACACAAGUAAGUGUGUGCCAGUGCAUAAAAUUUGCUUCCCAAAUUUUAGCGCCUGUAAUCUAAGAAGCAGCCACAAUUAGAUGGUGAAGAGCAUAUUCCGCCAACAGAGAGCUCGCUGUGUUUAAGGAAGACAGAUCUCAUUUCAUGGAGACAAGUUUCUGGUUUGAGUCCAAGAUGCAAGAAGGUGGCCACUGAGACCUUAGCAGAGCCUCCAAAUCUCAGAAAAGUGCCUAGGGAGCAAAGGAACACUUCCAUGGUGAUCAACCAAAUACAAAGCCAAGUCCUUUGUUGUGAUAAAACUCAGAUGCUUACCUUGGAGAGAGAGGUUGUCAUGGCAACCCUUUCAGAGACAAGGUCUUCACCAGAGACCAAUUGUUUCAACUCUGGAGAACAAUCUUUGCUUCUGUGAUGACAGUUAAAGCCCAACAGGCAGGCCAAACCCAACAGCACCAGUCUGAACCACAGGAAGGCCUUUCACUGGAUUUCAGAACACUUCAAAAAUCCUAACACAAGGACUUAAGGGUUCUAAACUAUUAUCUUUUGGUGUCUCCAACCUGUUUUUGAGUCCCCGGUACCUGGAGUCUGACAGACCCAGGCUGACAGUCCCUGGGCAGGGGAUACACGUAACAGAAGCUGGAAAAUUAGGCACAAAGAGAGGAAAAGCACAUUACAGAAAUCGAUUGCCUCGAUCCCCCUGAUGACAAGCUGAGGAUACCAGUGAAAAUUGAUGAAACAAGGCACAGAUGUUUAAGUGAGCUAUUUAAUGUUACAAAGGUAACCAUCAUGGCCGACAACAAAAUGUAAAUAAGAAAAGGAAAGGGGUUGGGGUGAACACACCGAAUCCUCUUUGGUCAUGCUGAGGAGUCAGUCUGUAAUGUCUAUGGAGUAGAAAUACAGGUAUAUUAAUUAUAGCAGGGGACAUGAACACUAGAAAAGCUAAAUGAAAAAUGGUGUAAUGUGACUGAAAGCAGAAGAUCAAGAGGCAGCCAUUAGAAGCCAUUCUCUUUUAGAGAAUUAUUAAAUUAUUAAAUUUAAUAAUUUAAAUUUUUUACUGAUGAUAACUUCAUGAUAUCUGCUAUAGUUUGAAUCUUCAUGGUGCCACAAAGACCCAGGUGUUAAAGAUUUGGACUGCAGGGUAGAGCUACUUGGAGGUAGUAGAAGCUUUAGGAGGUGGGGCCUAGUGAGAAGUCUUUAGGUCA